CAAAAUUUUUCGCUGCGGUGGUU
rnacentral:miRNA from 1 species